CAACCUAACAGAUGGCUUUGAGAAGUCCAUUCAUGGAUAUGCAAAAUCUGUUCAUGGAUAUGAAAAGUCCAAACUGGAAGGGUUGAUAGAUCAACUACAAAUAAAGUUUCUUUGUUGUGGCUCUAACAAUUACACCGACUGGUUUAAGACAACAUUUGGACAGGCUACUUUGUCUGUUCCAGUGAGCUGCUGUAUCAACAUGACUGAGUCUUGUGGGAGAGGUGUUUCCUAUCAAACGGCAAAUAUUUAUACAAUGGGUUGUGCUGGAAUGCUGGCAACAUGGAUUGAAGAAUGUUUUUCAGUUAUUAGAGGAACUGGUGUUGGCUUUACUUUUGCACAGGU